GAUGAACGCUGGCGGCGUGCCUAAUACAUGCAAGUCGAGCGAACAGACGAUGAGCUUGCUCCUCUGACGUUAGCGGCGGACGGGUGAGUAACACGUGGAUAACCUACCUAUAAGACUGGGAUAACUUCGGGAAACCGGAGCUAAUACCGGAUAAUAUAUUGAACCGCAUGGUUCAAUAGUGAAAGACGGUUUUGCUGUCACUUAUAGAUGGAUCCGCGCCGCAUUAGCUAGUUGGUAAGGUAACGGCUUACCAAGGCAACGAUGCGUAGCCGACCUGAGAGGGUGAUCGGCCACACUGGAACUGAGACACGGUCCAGACUCCUACGGGAGGCAGCAGUAGGGAAUUUUGCGCAAUGGGCGAAAGCCUGACGGAGCCACGCCGCGUGAGUGAUGAAGGUCUUCGGAUCGUAAAACUCUGUUAUUAGGGAAGAACAAAUGUGUAAGUAACUAUGCACGUCUUGACGGUACCUAAUCAGAAAGCCACGGCUAACUACGUG
rnacentral:rRNA from 1 species